AAAGUCAAACAAAAUUUUAAAUUAAAUUAUCAUCAAAAACAAAUAUCAGAAGGUACGUUUUUGAACGAAAAAAUAUACAUAUAUACAGAUAAGUAAAAAUUAAAAAUAAAACCGUCAAUACAGCUCUUUACUAGUAUAACAGGAAAAAUGUCCAGGAAAAUAAAAUGUAGCUGUGUCCUGAAAAAUGAAAAGCAUAAUUGGUUUUUCAAGAUUUCGUUGUGAACAUUUUGUUUGAACUGUUUGUAUGAGCUGUGCUUUUUGAAAAGUGAAAACUAUACCAGUUUAUUUGAAGAAGUCUCCACCUCUUUUUCGCUGCGGCAGCCUGCUAGACUUUGUAAAAAUAAGCUUUCAAAUAAGAUAAGAUCUAUUAUUAUGA